rnacentral:rRNA from 1 species
AACGAACGCUGGCGGCAUGCUUAACACAUGCAAGUCGAACGAGACCUUCGGGUCUAGUGGCGCACGGGUGCGUAACGCGUGGGAACCUGCCCUUAGGUUCGGAAUAACUCCCCGAAAGGGGUGCUAAUACCGGAUAAUGUCUUCGGACCAAAGAUUUAUCGCCUUUGGAUGGGCCCGCGUUGGAUUAGCUAGUUGGUAGGGUAAAAGCCUACCAAGGCGACGAUGCAUAGCUGGUCUGAGAGGAUGAUCAGCCACACUGGGACUGAGACACGGCCCAGUCUCCUACGGGAGGGAGCAGUGGGGAAUAUUGGACAAUGGGCGAAAGCCUGAUCCAGCAAUGCCGGGUGAGUGAUGAAGGCCUUAGGGUUGUAAAGCUCUUUUACCCGGGAUGAUAAUGACAGUACCGGGAGAAUAAGCACCGGCUAACUCCGUG